GAGCUUUGGAGCGGAGCUGUAGAUCUCGGAGUUAUUUGCAUGAAGCAAUAAAAGCUGCUACAAUCUUAAUGAAUAUGAAAAUAGAUGCAAUUUAAGUUGGGAAAAGUCAAAGGUGACAUUAAAAAAUAUUUCACAACUAGCUGAAUUUGUGUGCAGCACAUUGUUGCUCCAGCUUAAAAACCUCCUGUGUGGUAAAUGCUUGGCAGCCCUGGGGAAGGCAAUGAACACGGUGAAAUUCAGUGCAGUGUGGUAAGACAAGGAGAGCAUGAAUAAUAUUUGGAGAUCUAGCACACCUUAGUGGAAACAAUUAUUAUUACAACUGCUUUGAAGACAUUUGAAUUUUAAACUCCAUUGUUUGUGAAAUUCUAUUUUGACUAAAUAGAGGGACUUUGUUCAGGCUUUUGUUGUCUUUAGCAUGAUGUGUUUCUUUCCUAAACUCCACACAGAUAAGAAGAUAAAUUUGAUCAUGAAUUUCUAAAAGUAGAAAUCAUAGGUUUUUUAGAAUUAGCAUAAAAUUAUUGUACAACCCUCCAUGGGCUAUCAAAUUGGGAGCAAUCCAAUUUUAUUUGCCAUCAUGGUCACAUAUAAAGUGUCAGAUUAUUCUUGUUAGAUGAUUAUUGUACAUUUAACUUAGAAAAGCUUCUCAGGUCUGCUCCUGAGAUGCUUGAAAGACUUUUGGUUUAAAUAGGUUGCAUAUGUUCUGCUGUUAAUGGCUGACCGUUUUUAUUUCAUAUUACUAAAAUGUAAUCAAGAAAAAGAGAGUAGAAAAUACAUCGCAAAUAUUCAGUCUACUAUCUAGACAAUUUCAAAAGCUUUCAAUUUUAUCUCCUGUUCCAUUAUCUUCAAUUGUAGAGUUUGGAUAGGAAAAGAAUUCAAAAAUAAAUACAAAACAUUCAUUCCAAUACAUGAAGAAAAUUAGCCCUGUUCAUGUACAUUUUCUAAUAUGGAUAUGUUUCUAAAAAUCAGAAUAUAAUAUUUAUGGAGUCAUUAGUAAAAUGCACUUGAUUAUCUAAGAAUCUCAACUGCUUGAUGCUUGAUCAAAAACUAGGUAGAAACUAAAUCAUGCCUAUCAACAAUUAAAUAUUUCUGAAAAGGGGACUUCCAAAAUGGUAGAAUAAGAAGCUCAGCAAAUACUUUCCCUAAAAAGUGACAACAGGGGUGGAGCCAAGAUGGCUGAAUAGGAAUAGCUCCAGUCUAUAGCUCCCAGUGUGAGCGACACAGAAGAUGGGUGAUUUCUGCAUUUCCAACUGAGGUACUGGGUUCAUCUCACUGGGGAGUGUCAGACAGUGGGUGCAGGACAAUGGAAGCAGUGCACUGAGUGUGAGCCAAAGCAGGGCAAGGCAUCACCUCACCCGGGAAGCACAAGGGGUCAGAGAAUUCCCUUUCCUAGUCAAAGAAAGGGGUGACAGAUGGCACCUGGAAAAUCAGGUCACUCCCACCCUAAUACCGCACCUUUCCAAUGGUCUUAGCAAAUGGCACACCAGGAGAUUAUAUCCCACGCAUGGCUUGGAGGGUCCUAUGCCCAUGGAGCCUCACUCAUUGCUAGCACAGCAGGCUGAGAUCAAACUGCAAGGUGGCAGUGAGGCUGGGGGAGGGGAGCCCACCAUUGCUGAGGCUUGAGUAAGUAAACAAAGUGGCUGGAAAGCUCGAACUGGGUGGAGCCCACCGCAGCUCAAGCAGGCCUGCCUGCCUCUGUAGACUCCACCUCUGGGGGCAGGGCAUAGCCAAACAAAAGGCAGCAGAAACCUCUGCAGACCUUAAUGUCCCUGUCUGACAGCUUUGAAGAGAGU
rnacentral:lncRNA from 10 species